AGAUGAUCAGAUAGUAGUGAAUUAUCAGAAUUUAUUAACAUUAAUGUCAAUAUACUUGCUAUACAACCUCCUCACUGCCAAAUUUGACUGGCUUAAU
rnacentral:Y_RNA from 2 species